CAGUAACUUGCUCCUGUGAGA
rnacentral:miRNA from 1 species